AAAAAGUGAGGAAAAUCAAGGAAAACAAGUGAAAAUAGUGGUGAGUCCUCCGAUAAAGGCAAGAAAAUUGCAUCCGAGGACCAUAGUCAGAGUACUUCGAAAUCCGCACUCUAGAAAUUGCUCAGGAUAGUCGGUAAAUAGCUCACUUUGUUGAGGG